CUUUUUUUUUUUUCUUUUUUUUUUUUCCACUUCAAAAAAUGGCUGGGCAUAGCCGAAUAAUAAAAACUUGCUCCUGUGAAAACAGAAUUGGAGCACUGGAGCAGUGGAGACUCAGCUGACUUUCUUUUCUUUGUUCUUCACCAUCAAUAACACCCAUGAAAUUAAUAUUUUAAAGUAAAUAAAAGGAGAGAGAAGAAAGAAUAAAUAAUAUGAUCGGUGAUUAAUCUAAUAAUCUUAUGGUAAUACUGGCAAUAACCAUUGUUGCUUUAAAGCAUGAUGUACAGUGCUUUUUGAUUAAAACUUCAUGGAAAAAAUGCAUGUUCUGCUUCUUAAAUAUCUUAAUUAAAAUAAUUUUACUAACAGAUACCUCCUUUCCCAGUUGCCUAUGAAUUGAGUAAUACUAGAUAGAAACAAAUGGCUAGGUAAGUGAAUCAAAAGGAGACACUUCUGAUGAAUGUCCAGAGGCAGUUCUGUAUAUUAUAUGCUGAAACCUUGUAAUUACAUAGUGAAGCCUAAAUUCAAAUGUUGCAUCAACUACCUGUUGACUUUAUUAGAUCAGUACUUCUUUAUUACCUCUUAGAUUUUUUGGGAGGCAUCCAUAAAUAUCUAAACCCCUGCUAAGAAUAUAAAUCCAGAGGUGAUGAACUCUAUUUCAUUACAGAGAUUUAUGCCUUUAACAAGAAAAGAGAAUAUUUGAUAUUAAUAAUAAAGAUCUUCACAAAUUUCCUAAGGAUUUACUUGACUAUAUCAUCCUGUGCAGUUACUCUAUUCAUCCCCAAUUUCAUGUGCUUUUUGAAGACUCAUAAUUCAUCUUCUCUAUUUUGUUAAAUAAGAGAUUUCAGAAGUCACAGAACAUCUCUCUCUGUGCACGUGUGUCUGCAUGUGAAUGUGCAUGUACAUGCAGGGAAGUUUCUCCCCACAUUGGACUCAGAGCCACACCAAUCCACACACAACUCUGUUUUCUCGAUUUUUUUCCCCCAGAAUGUUUCCACAGAUGUCUGUGGUUGAGGUAUCCAUGCCUACUCUGAAUGCUCAAUGAAAAAUAUACAGAUAUUGGUUUCCCCACUGCUCAAGGAACUAAUUUUUGAGACUUAUUUCACCUCCAGAAAUAGCUGAGUGCCUGCACUAUUUAGACUUUAAUUAUAGUGAUGGGAACUAUAUGUAAUUGUCUUACCAGAUAUUGAAUUCUUUCCACAUCUGGUAUUAACAUGAAGUGAGGAAAUAGGCAGGAAAAGAGGAAUUAGAGGUAAAGAAAGGUAGAAAUGGAUAUUCAUUCCUAAAGGUAUGCACCAAGGCUGUGGGAGCUAUGUCCUUUUCAUAAUAUUUCCACUGUCCCUCAGUUUCUUCCUAAAAAUGUCAUUUGAGCAGGUGGCCAGAAAACAAAGCAAGCAAACUCAUGAGCAACUAAAAGAAAACUUGGUCUUAUUAUUUCAUAGCUGAAAGUCCAAAACUAAGACACUAAAUGUAGGAAAAAAAAAUGAAGUUUUUUUGACCUUUGUCCUUUGCACACCAGCUAGAUCAUUUUCCCCACUGUGAUGGAUAAGCAUAGCAAAAAGGGAAUGAAGCCAUGGCAAGCAUGUCCAAAAUCUUCAUUUCCAAGCCUUCUGUUUCCUUCUGAGAAAGGGAGUAACCUCUGCAUGUUACAUUAUUAGGCUGCAUCUAAGAAAUAUCGUGUCUCCUUCCCAUCAUGCUUUACAGCAAACCAAGGACAUGCAAAUCAUGA
rnacentral:lncRNA from 1 species